rnacentral:rRNA from 1 species
GAAAGCGAUGCUAAUACCGGAUGACAUCUCAAUAACUCCGGUCUUUGAGAUCAAAGGUGGCCUCUCCAUGGAAGCUACUGUUUGGAGAUGAGCCCGCGUACCAUUAGCUUGUUGGUAGGGUAAUGGCCUACCAAGGCGACGAUGGUUAGCUGGUCUGAGAGGAUGAUCAGCCACACUGGAACUGACACACGGUCCAGACUCCUACGGGAGGCAGCAGUGAGGAAUUUUGCGCAAUGGGGGAAACCCUGACGCAGCAACGCCGCGUGAGUGAUGAAGGCUUUCGGGUCGUAAAGCUCUGUCAAGUGAGAAGAACCUGUCCUUUGCUAAUAUCACUGGGCACUGACGGUAUCACUGAAGGAAGCACCGGCUAACUCCGUGCCAGCAGCCGCGGUAAUACGGAGGGUGCAAGCGUUAUUCGGAAUCACUGGGCGUAAGAGCGCGUAGGCGGGUUUCUAAGUCAGAUGUGAAAGCCCGGGGCUCANCCCCGGAAGUGCAUUUGAACUUAGGGACUUGA